GGCCAGGUAGCUCAGUUGGUUAGAGCGUUGUCCUGAUAUGCCAAGGUUGUGGGUUUAUCCCUGGUUA
rnacentral:tRNA from 1 species